rnacentral:rRNA from 1 species
UACGGAGGGAGCUAGCGUUGUUCGGAAUACUGGGCGUAAAGCGCACGUAGGCGGCGAUUCAAGUCAGAGGUGAAAGCCCGGGGCUCAACCCCGGAACUGCCUUUGAAACUAGAUUGCUAGAAUCCUGGAGAGGUGAGUGGAAUUCCGAGUGUAGAGGUGAAAUUCGUAGAUAUUCGGAAGAACACCAGUGGCGAAGGCGACUCACUGGACAGGUAUUGACGCUGAGGUGCGAAAGCGUGGGGGAGCAAACA